rnacentral:rRNA from 1 species
AUACGUAGGGAGCGAGCGUUGUCCGGAAUUACUGGGUGUAAAGGGUGCGUAGGCGGGACUGCAAGUCAGAUGUGAAAUGCCGGGGCUCAACCCCGGAGCUGCAUUUGAAACUGUGGUUCUUGAGUGAGGGAGAGGUAAGCGGAAUUCCUAGUGUAGCGGUGAAAUGCGUAGAUAUUAGGAGGAACAUCGGUGGCGAAGGCGGCUUACUGGGCCUUUACUGACGCUGAGGCACGAAAGCGUGGGGAGCAAACAGGAUUAGAUACCCUGGUAGUCCACGCUGUAAACGAUGAUGACUAGGUGUGGGGGGACUGAACCCUUCCGUGCCGCAGUUAACACAAUAAGUCAUCCACCUGGGGAGUACGGCCGCAAGGUUGAAACUCAAAUGAAUUGACGGGG